UACGAAGGGGGCUAGCGUUGCUCGGAAUCACUGGGCGUAAAGGGCGCGUAGGCGGCUGUUCAAGUCGGGGGUGAAAGCCUGUGGCUCAACCACAGAAUGGCCUCGAUACUGGACGGCUCGAGACCGGAAGAGGUCAGUGGAACUGCGAGUGUAGAGGUGAAAUUCGAUAGAUAUUCGCAAGAACACCGGUGGCGAAGGCGGGUCUCUGGGCCGAAACUGACGCUGAGGAGCGAAAGCGUGGGGAGCAAACAGG
rnacentral:rRNA from 1 species